GUACUCGCUUCAGCAGCACAUAUACUAAAAUUGGAAUGAUACAGAGAUUAGCAUGGCCCCUGCACAAGUAUGACAUGCAAAUUCAUGAAGUGUUUCAUGUUUUU